rnacentral:rRNA from 1 species
CGGCACCUCAAGUGGUCAGGAUGAUUAUUGGGCCUAAAGCAUCCGUAGCCGGCGCUGUAAGUUUUCGGUUAAAUCUGUACGCUCAACGUACAGGCUGCCGGGAAUACUGCAGCGCUAGGGAGUGGGAGAGGUAGACGGUACUCGGUAGGAAGGGGUAAAAUCCUUUGAUCUAUUGAUGACCACCUGUGGCGAAGGCGGUCUACCAGAACACGUCCGACGGUGAGGGAUGAAAGCUGGGGGAGCAAACCGGAUUAGAUACCCGUGUAGUCC